CCCGCUGAACUUAAGCAUAUCAAUAAGCGGAGGAAAAGAAACUAACAAGGAUCCCCUUAGUAACGGCGAGUGAAGCGGGGUGAGCUCAAAUUUAAAAUCUGGCUGGUUUACUAGUCCGAAUUGUAGUUUAAAGAAGCGUUUUCGGUGGCAGCCUGGGUAUAAAUCCUUUGGAAUAGGGUAUCAUAGAGGGUGAGAAUCCCGUCUUUGACUCAGUGCAUGCUACUAUGUGAUACGUUUUCAAAGAGUCGAGUUGUUUGGGAAUGCAGCUCAAAAUGGGUGGUAAAUUUCAUCUAAGGCUAAAUAUUGGCGAGAGACCGAUAGCGAACAAGUACCGUGAGGGAAAGAUGAAAAGAACUUUGAAAAGAGAGUUAAACAGUGCGUGAAAUUGUUGAAAGGGAAACGUUUGACACCAGUCAUGCGGGUGGGAAAUCAGUCAAUUGCAGUGGGGAGUGGUGAAGGUUCGGACCGCAAGGCCGGCCUGUGCCUCAUCUCUGCUGUAAGUGAUGCACUUUUCCAUCGGCAGGUCAACAUCAGUUUCUUCUGCUGGACAAAACUCCGAGAGAAGGUAGCAGCUUAGGCUGUGUUAUAGCUCUGGAGCGAUACAGUGGUGGGGACUGAGGUUUUCGCAGUGUGUGCUUUCGGGCAAGGCUGACCGGGUGCUAUGGGAUCGUUCAGUGUACAAUGCAUGCAUUUUGCGCUGUGUCUUUUCUAUACUCGCCUGGCUCGGCUCUUCCACACUUAGGAUGUUGACUUAAUGGUUUUAAACGACCCGUCUUGAAACACGG
rnacentral:rRNA from 1 species